CCUGACCCUCUUCAUUCUCUCCAUUGUUUGGUGUUGACAGUGCGUUGGAUAUUGCCUAUUCUAACAGGGAUUCCAGGGUCAGUGAUAUCUGUACCACCACGCUGAUCUUCCAGAAGGCUGGUUUGGGCCUCCAAAGGACGCAGAGAGGCUUCCAGCAGCCAAACUCAGAGAGGAAAAGUCUGGAGGUUUUGCAAGAAGGUCAACUCAUAGUUCCAAGGGAUUUUCCUAG